UGUAUUUUUUUUCUUCUGAAGACAGAAUAUCUGCAAUCUAAGGGAAGGAAUAAACAUUAUGAUUUUUCUCUUUCCAAUUUUGUCCUUUCAUUUUUUUAUAAAGUUUUUAAAUUGCUAUCUUUUAAUCUUCAAAAAUUGUUUCCGAAACGUUAGGGUUCUUUGCUUUUCUAAUGCUAUAAGCCAAAGUACUCCCUCUGAUAUCUCCCUCUAGUGUUAUCUCUGUGCAGUUGCUUGUUCCUGAAACAAGUUUUUCUUUUAAAUUCCACAGCUCUGUUGAAUGUUCAACAUACAAUGCAAAUAUGUGUAACCUAUAGUUUUUAAAAUUGAGCUAUUUAUAUUUACAUUUUAAUUGCAUAGCUAUGACAUGAGCUGAAAUGUGAAAGGUUGACCCAGCAAUUUAGAGAGAGAACAGUUAAAAGUAGGUUCCAGUCUAAAUCCUGUACUUGCAGAAACCAAUUCAAAAUGAGUUUAACAUCUGUUUCCAUGACAAUGGGUCAGAGCAUUUAUUGCCAAGCUGUUCUUCUUUUCCUCUUUUUACCCUAUUUUUAUUGAAAAAUUUAGUUUUAGGUUUUAAAGUAUCUAGAAAUCUCAUGGAUUAUAUGGUUCAGAAGUAACAGAUUUUAGUUAGAAAUGACCACUUCAUAAUUUCAAAGCAGUAAUCUAGUAAGGUAUAGCAGUAGUUUUGAACUCUUUGCUUACCCAAUAGCUGAAGUUUUUUAUUUUUUUAAGCAUAAAAAUAAGAUGCAAACUUGAAGGAAAAAAAAAAAAAAGCUAGUAGUAAGCUUGAAAUUUUAUUAUCAUCUGAACAUUUUUUUUACUUUUAAAAAAAUCAUAUGGUAUUUAUAAAAAAUAGCUAGCAAGAGUUAAAUAUAUAACAAAGGUUGCAGUAGUUUACUAUCAUUGUCAAGUUUUUCAGUUUUGUGAAUGCAGACUAUUUCAGUCGUGGGACCAAACCUUCAGUAUUUUUAUUGAGACUUAAAACUGGGAAAUCGUGCUUUUUUUUUUUUUUAAACUUGUUCCUGCUACCAGUCAUUAAUUUUUUUUUCAGUAGUCUUUUGAUGGUCUAAUUAAUGAUCCCACGGUCUAAUAUUAAUCUGAACUAUGGUAGGAUGUUAACUUAUAGUUUUAUUAAAACCAGACACAUCAGGUGAAUAAAAUGUAAAUUGAGUCUAUGCUAUGAUUUUAAACUUCUAAUAUGAAAUUUGAGAAAUUUAAUUUAAUCAGUUUAUGUGAUUAAGGAAAACUUUCUAUAUAUAUACAUAUAUAUGCGUGUGUAGAUAAAUAUAAAAUGUGUGUGUACAUAAAAAGUCUGAGUGUACAUAAAAAGUGUGUGUGUAUAUAAAGUGUGUGUGUACAUAUAAAGUGUGUGUGUGUGUGUGUGUGUGUGUGUGUACAUAAAAAGUGUGUGUGUGUGUGUGUACAUAAAAAGUGUGUGUGUGUGUGUGUGUGUGUACAUAAAAAGUGUGUGUACAUAUAAAGUGUGUGUGUGUGUGUGUGUGUACAUAAAAAGUGUGUGUACAUAUAAAGUGUGUGUGUGUGUGUGUGUGUGUGUACAUAAAAAGUGUGUGUACAUAAAAAGUGUGUGUGUGUGUGUGUGUGUGUGUACAUAAAAAGUGUGUGUACAUAUAAAGUGUGUGUGUGUGUGUGUGUGUACAUAAAAAGUGUGUACACAUAUAAAGUGUGUGUGUGUGUGUGUACAUAAAAAGUGUGUACAUAUAAAGUGUGUGUGUGUGUAUGUACAUAAAAAGUGUGUGUACAUAUAGUGUGUGUGUGUGUGUGUGUACAUAAAAAGUGUGUGUACAUAUAGUGUGUGUGUGUGUACAUAAAAAGUGUGUGUACAUAUAAAGUGUGUGUGUGUGUGUACAUAAAAAGUGUGUGUGUGUGUACAUAAAAAGUGUGUACAUAAAAAGUGUGUGUGUGUGUACAUAAAGUGUGUGUACAUAAAAAGUGUGUGUGUGUGUACAUAAAAAGUGUGUGUGUACAUAAAAAGUGUGUGUGUGUACAUAAAGUGUGUGUACAUAAAAAGUGUGUGUGUGUACAUAAAGUGUGUGUACAUAAAAAGUGUGUGUGUGUGUACAUAAAAAGUGUGUGUGUACAUAAAGUGUGUGUACAUAAAAAGUGUGUGUGUGUGUACAUAAAAAGUGUGUGUACAUAAAAAGUGUGUGUGUGUGUGUACAUAAAAAGUGUGUGUACAUAAAAAGUGUGUGUGUGUGUGUACAUAAAAAGUGUGUGUGUGUACAUAAAGUGUGUGUGUGUGUGUACAUAAAAAGUGUGUGUGUACAUAAAGUGUGUGUACAUAAAAAGUGUGUGUGUGUGUACAUAAAAAGUGUGUGUGUGUACAUAAAGUGUGUGUGUGUGUGUGUGUACAUAAAAAGUGUGUGUGUACAUAAAGUGUGUGUACAUAAAAAGUGUGUGUGUGUGUGUGUACAUAAAAAGUGUGUGUGUGUGUGUGUAUAUAAAGUGUGUGUGUGUAUAUAAAGUGUGUGUGUGUACAUAAAAAGUGUGUGUGUGUGUGUGUAUAUAAAGUGUGUGUGUGUACAUAAAAAGUGUGUGUGUGUGUAUAUAAAGUGUGUGUGUGUGUAUAUAAAGUGUGUGUGUGUACAUAAAAAGUGUGUGUGUGUGUGUGUGUAUAUAAAGUGUGUGUGUGUACAUAAAAAGUGUGUGUGUGUGUGUGUAUAUAAAGUGUGUGUGUGUGUAUAAAAAGUGUGUGUGUGUAUAAAAAGUGUGUGUGUGUGUGUAUAAAGUGUGUGUGUGUGUGUAUAAAGUGUGUGUGUGUGUAUAAAGUGUGUGUGUGUGUGUGUGUGUAUAAAGUGUGUGUGUGUGUAUAAAAAGUGUUUGUGUGUGUGUGUAAAAAGUGUGUGUGUGUAUAUAAAGUGUGUGUGUGUAAAAAGUGUGUGUGUGUGUGUAUAAAGUGUGUGUGUGUGUAUAAAAAGUGUGUGUGUGUAUAAAGUGUGUGUGUGUGUAUAUAAAGUGUGUGUGUGUGUAUAAAAAGUGUUUGUGUGUGUGUGUAAAAAGUGUGUGUGUGUGUAUAUAAAGUGUGUGUGUGUAAAAAGUGUGUGUGUGUGUGUAUAAAGUGUGUGUGUGUAAAAAUUGUGUGUGUGUGUGUAAAAAGUGUGUGUGUGUGUGUGUAUAAAAAGUGUGUGUGUAUAUAAAGUGUGUGUGUAUAAAAAGUGUGUGUGUGUGUGUAUAAAGUGUGUAAGUGUGUGUGUGUAUAAAGUGUGUGUGUGUGUAUAAAGUGUGUGUGUGUAUAUAAAGUGUGUGUGUGUAUAAAGUGUGUGUGUGUGUAUAAAGUGUGUGUGGGUGUACAUAAAAAGUGUGUGUGUAUAUAAAGUGUGUGUGGGUGUACAUAAAAAGUGUGUGUGUAUAAAGUGUGUGUGUGUGUAUAAAGUGUGUGUGGGUGUACAUAAAAAGUGUGUGUGUAUAUAAAGUGUGUGUGGGUGUACAUAAAAAGUGUGUGUGUGUGUACAUAGAAAGUGUGUGUACAUAGAAAGUGUGUGUGUGUACAUAGAAAGUGUGUGUACAUACAAAGUGUGUGUGUGUGUACAUAGAAAGUGUGUGUACAUAUAAAGUGUGUGUGUGUGUACAUAAAAAGUGUGUGUGUGUAUAAAGUGUGUGUGUGUAUAAAGUGUGUGUGUGUAUAAAGUGUGUGUGUGUAUAAAGUGUGUGUGUGUGUGUGUGUGUAUAAAGUGUGUGUGUGUGUAUAAAAAGUGUUUGUGUGUGUGUGUAAAAAGUGUGUGUGUGUGUAUAUAAAGUGUGUGUGUGUAAAAAGUGUGUGUGUGUGUGUAUAAAGUGUGUGUGUGUAAAAAGUGUGUGUGUGUGUAUAUAAAGUGUGUGUGUGUAAAAAGUGUGUGUGUGUGUGUGUAAAAAGUGUGUGUGUGUGUAAAAAGUGUGUGUGUGUAUAAAGUGUGUGUGUAUAAAGUGUGUGUGUAUAAAAAGUGUGUGUGUGUGUGUGUAAAAAGUGUGUGUGUGUGUAAAAAGUGUGUGUGUGUAUAAAGUGUGUGUGUAUAAAGUGUGUGUGUAUAAAAAGUGUGUGUGUGUGUGUAUAAAGUGUGUAAGUGUGUGUGUGUAUAAAGUGUGUGUGUGUAUAAAAAGUGUGUGUGUGUGUAUAAAGUGUGUGUGUGUAUAAAGUGUGUGUGUGUAUAAAAAGUGUGUGUGUGUGUAUAAAGUGUGUGUGUGUAUAAAGUGUGUGUGUAUAAAAAGUGUGUGUGUAUAUAAAGUGUGUGUGUGUGUGUAUAUAAAGUGUGUGUGUAUAUAAAGUGUGUGUGUGUAUAAAGUGUGUGUGUGUGUAUAAAGUGUGUGUGGGUGUACAUAAAAAGUGUGUGUGUAUAUAAAGUGUGUGUGGGUGUACAUAAAAAGUGUGUGUGUAUAAAGUGUGUGUGUGUGUAUAAAGUGUGUGUGGGUGUACAUAAAAAGUGUGUGUGUAUAUAAAGUGUGUGUGGGUGUACAUAAAAAGUGUGUGUGUGUGUACAUAGAAAGUGUGUGUACAUAGAAAGUGUGUGUGUGUACAUAGAAAGUGUGUGUGUGUACAUAGAAAGUGUGUGUACAUACAAAGUGUGUGUGUGUGUACAUAGAAAGUGUGUGUACAUAUAAAGUGUGUGUGUGUGUACAUAAAAAGUGUGUGUGUGUAUAAAGUGUGUGUGUGUAUAAAGUGUGUGUGUGUACAUAAAAAGUGUGUGUGUAUAAAGUGUGUGUGUGUGUGUAUAAAGUGUGUGUGUGUAUAAAGUGUGUGUGUGUGUACAUAAAAAGUGUGUGUGUGUAUAAAGUGUGUGUGUAUAAAGUGUGUGUGUGUGUACAUAAAAAGUGUGUGUGUGUAUAAAGUGUGUGUGUAUAAAGUGUGUGUGUGUGUACAUAAAAAGUGUGUGUGUGUAUAAAGUGUGUGUGUAUAAAGUGUGUGUGUGUGUGUAUAAAGUGUGUGUGUAUAAAGUGUGUGUGUGUGUACAUAAAAAGUGUGUGUGUGUAUAAAGUGUGUGUGUAUAAAGUGUGUGUGUGUGUACAUAAAAAGUGUGUGUGUGUAUAAAGUGUGUGUGUGUAUAUAAAGUGUGUGUGUGUAUAAAUGUGUGUGUGUACAUAAAAAGUGUGUGUGUGUAUAAAGUGUGUGUGUGUACAUAAAAAGUGUGUGUGUAUAUAAAGUGUGUGUGUAUAAAUGUGUGUGUGUACAUAAAAAGUGUGUGUGUAUAUAAAGUGUGUGUGUAUAAAUGUGUGUGUGUACAUAAAAAGUGUGUGUGUAUAAAGUGUGUGUGUGUAUAAAGUGUGUGUAUAAAUGUGUGUGUACAUAAAAAGUGUGUGUGUAUAUAAAGUGUGUGUGUGUAUAAAUGUGUGUGUGUACAUAAAAAGUGUGUGUGUAUAUAAAGUGUGUGUGUGUAUAAAGUGUGUGUGUGUGUAUAAAGUGUGUGUGUGUAUAAAUGUGUGUGUGUACAUAAAAAGUGUGUGUGUGUAUAAAGUGUGUGUGUGUAUAUAAAGUGUGUGUGUGUAUAAAUGUGUGUGUGUACAUAAAAAGUGUGUGUGUGUAUAAAUGUGUGUGUGUACAUAAAAAGUGUGUGUGUGUAUAAAGUGUGUGUGUGUACAUAAAAAGUGUGUGUGUAUAUAAAGUGUGUGUGUAUAAAUGUGUGUGUGUACAUAAAAAGUGUGUGUGUAUAUAAAGUGUGUGUGUAUAAAUGUGUGUGUGUACAUAAAAAGUGUGUGUGUAUAAAGUGUGUGUGUAUAUAAAGUGUGUGUGUAUAAAUGUGUGUGUACAUAAAAAGUGUGUGUGUAUAAAGUGUGUGUGUGUAUAAAGUGUGUGUAUAAAUGUGUGUGUACAUAAAAAGUGUGUGUGUAUAUAAAGUGUGUGUGUGUAUAAAUGUGUGUGUGUACAUAAAAAGUGUGCGUGUAUAUAAAGUGUGUGUGUGUACAUAAAAAGUGUGUGUGUGUAUAAAGUGUGUGUGUGUACAUAAAAAGUGUGUGUGUAUAUAAAGUGUGUGUGUGUAUAAAGUGUGUGUGUGUGUAUAAAGUGUGUGUGUGUACAUAAAAAGUGUGUGUGUAUAAAGUGUGUGUGUGUACAAAGUGUGUGUGUGUGUACAAAGUGUGUGUGUGUGUGUAUAAAGUGUGUGUAUAAAGUGUGUGUGUGUACAUUAAAAGUGUGUGUGUACAUUAAAAGUGUGUGUUUGUACAUAAAAAGUGUGUGUGUACAUAAAAAGUGUGUGUGUAUGUACAUAAAGUGUGUGUACAUAAAGUGUGUAUGUACAUAAAGUGUGUGUACAUAAAGUGUGUGUGUGUAUAUAAAGUGUGUGUGUGUAUAAAGUGUGUGUAUAAAGUGUGUAUGUGUGUACAUAAAAAGUGUGUGUGUAUAAAGUGUGUGUGUGUAUAAAGUGUGUGUGUGUGUACAUAAAAAGUGUGUGUGUAUGUAAAGUGUGUGUGUGUGUGUGUAUGUAAAGUGUGUGUGUGUGUGUAAAGUGUGUGUGUGUGUACAUAAAAAGUGUGUGUGUAUAAAGUGUGUGUGUGUGUAUAAAGUGUGUGUGUGUACAUAAAAAGUGUGUGUAUAUAAAGUGUGUGUGUGUAUAAAGUGUGUGUGUGUGUGUAUAAAGUGUGUGUGUACAUAAAAAGUGUGUGUGUGUACAUAAAAAGUGUGUGUAUAUAAAGUGUGUGUGUGUAUAAAGUGUGUGUGUGUGUGUGUAUAAAGUGUGUGUGUGUACAUAAAAAGUGUGUGUGUGUACAUAAAAAGUGUGUGUGUGUAUAAAGUGUGUGUGUGUACAUAAAAAGUGUGUGUGUGUAUAAAGUGUGUGUGUGUACAUAAAAAGUGUGUGUGUAUAAAGUGUGUGUGUGUGUAUAAAGUGUGUGUGUACAUAAAAAGUGUGUGUGUGUAUAAAGUGUGUGUGUGUGUAUAAAGUGUGUGUGUAUAAAGUGUGUGUGUAUACAAAGUGUGUGUGUAUAAAGUGUGUGUAUGUGUGUGUGUAUACAAAGUGUGUGUGUAUAAAGUGUGUGUGUACAAAGUGUGUGUGUGUGUGUGUAUAAAGUGUGUGUACAAAGUGUGUGUGUGUGUGUAUAAAGUGUGUGUGUACAAAGUGUGUGUGUGUGUAUAAAGUGUGUGUGUACAAAGUGUGUGUGUAUGUGUGUAUAAAGUGUGUGUCUACAAAGUGUGUGUGUAUGUGUGUAUAAAGUGUGUAUACAAAGUGUGUGUGUGCGUAUACAGUGUGUGUGUGCGUAUACAGUGUGUGUGUGCGUAUACAGUGUGUGUGUGUGUAUAAAGUGUGUAUACAAAGUGUGUGUAUAAAGUGUGUGUAUGUAUGUGUGUAUAAAGUGUGUGUAUGUAUGUGUCUAUAAAGUGUGUAUACAAAGUGUGCAUGUGUAUAAAGUGUGUGUAUGUAUGUGUCUAUAAAGUGUGUAUACAAAGUGUGUGUGUAUAAAGUGCGUGUGUAUAAAGUGUGUGUAUGUAUGUGUCUAUAAAGUGUGUAUACAAAGUGUGUGUGUGUAUAAAGUGCGUGUGUAUAAAGUGUGUGUAUGCAUGUGUGUAUAAAGUGUAUGUGUGUGUAUAAAGUGUGUGUAUGUAUGUGUGUAUAAAGUGUGUGUGUGUAUAAAGUGUGUGUGUGUGUAUAAAGUGUGUGUAUGUAUGUGUGUAUAAAGUGUGUGUGUGUAUAAAGUGUGUAUGUGUGUGUAUAAAGUGUGUGUAUGUAUGUGUGUAUAAAGUGUGUAUGUGUGUGUAUAAAGUGUGUGUAUGUAUGUGUGUAUAAAGUGUGUGUGUAUAAAGUGUGUAUGUGUGUGUAUAAAGUGUGUGUAUGUAUGUGUGUAUAAAGUGUGUGUGUGUAUAAAGUGUGUAUGUGUGUGUAUAAAGUGUGUGUAUGUAUGUGUGUAUAAAGUGUGUAUGUGUGUGUAUAAAGUGUGUGUAUGUAUGUGUGUAUAAAGUGUGUGUGUGUAUAAAGUGUGUAUGUGUGUGUAUAAAGUGUGUGUAUGUAUGUGUGUAUAAAGUGUGUAUGUGUGUGUAUAAAGUGUGUGUAUGUAUGUGUGUAUAAAGUGUGUGUGUGUAUAAAGUGUGUAUGUGUGUGUAUAAAGUGUGUGUAUACAAAGUGUGUAUGUGUGUGUAUAAAGUGUGUAUGUGUGUGUAUAAAGUGUGUAUACAAAGUGUGUAUGUGUGUGUAUAAAGUGUGUAUACAAAGUGUGUAUGUGUGUGUAUAAAGUGUGUGUAUACAAAGUGUGUAUGUGUGUGUAUACAAAGUGUGUAUGUGUGUGUGUAUAAAGUGUGUGUAUACAAAGUGUGUGUGUGUGUAUAAAGUGUGUAUACAAAGUGUGUGUGUAUGUGUGUGUGUAUAUAGUGUGUGUAUACAAAGUGUGUGUAUACAAAGUGUGUGUGUAUAAAGUGUGUGUAUAAAGUGUGUGUGUAUAAAGUGUGUGUGUAUACAAAGUGUGUGUGUAUACAAAGUGUGUGUAUAAAGUGUGUGUGUAUACAAAGUGUGUGUGUAUAAAGUGUGUGUGUGUAUAAAGUGUGUGUACAAAGUGUGUGUAUAAAGUGUGUGUGUACAAAGUGUGUGUGUGUGUAUAAAGUGUGUAUACAAAGUGUGUGUGUGUGUGUGUAUAAAGUGUGUAUACAAAGUGUGUGUGUGUGUGUGUAUAAAGUGUGUAUACAAAGUGUGUGUGUGUGUGUGUAUAAAGUGUGUAUACAAAGUGUGUGUGUGUGUGUAUAAAGUGUGUAUACAAAGUGUGUGUGUGUGUGUGUAUAAAGUGUGUAUACAAAGUGUGUGUGUGUGUGUGUAUAAAGUGUGUAUACAAAGUGUGUGUGUGUGUGUGUAUAAAGUGUGUAUACAAAGUGUGUGUGUGUGUGUGUAUAAAGUGUGUAUACAAAGUGUGUGUGUGCGUAUACAGUGUGUGUGUGUGUAUAAAGUGUGUAUACAAAGUGUGUGUGUAUGUGUGUAUAAAGUGUGUAUACAAAGUGUGUGUGUGCGUAUACAGUGUGUGUGUGUGUAUAAAGUGUGUAUACAAAGUGUGUGUGUAUGUGUGUAUAAAGUGUGUAUACAAAGUGUGUGUGUGCGUAUACAGUGUGUGUGUGUGUAUAAAGUGUGUAUACAAAGUGUGUGUGUAUGUGUGUAUAAAGUGUGUAUACAAAGUGUGUGUGUGCGUAUACAGUGUGUGUGUGUGUGUAUAAAGUGUGUAUACAAAGUGUGUGUAUAAAGUGUGUGUGUGUGUGUAUAAAGUGUGUAUACAAAGUGUGUGUGUGCGUAUACAGUGUGUGUGUGUGUAUAAAGUGUGUAUACAAAGUGUGUGUGUGCGUAUACAGUGUGUGUGUGUGUAUAAAGUGUGUAUACAAAGUGUGUGUGUGCGUAUACAGUGUGUGUGUGUGUAUAAAGUGUGUAUACAAAGUGUGUGUAUAAAGUGUGUGUGUGUGUGUAUAAAGUGUGUAUACAAAGUGUGUGUGUAUGUGUGUAUAAAGUGUGUGUGUGUGUAUAAAGUGUAUACAAAGUGUGUGUGUAUGUGUGUAUAAAGUGUGUAUACAAAGUGUGUGUGUGCGUAUACAGUGUGUGUGUGUGUGUGUAUAAAGUGUGUAUACAAAGUGUGUGUAUAAAGUGUGUGUGUGUGUGUAUAAAGUGUGUAUACAAAGUGUGUGUGUGCGUAUACAGUGUGUGUGUGUGUAUAAAGUGUGUAUACAAAGUGUGUGUGUGCGUAUACAGUGUGUGUGUGUGUAUAAAGUGUGUAUACAAAGUGUGUGUAUAAAGUGUGUGUGUGUGUAUAAAGUGUGUAUACAAAGUGUGUGUAUAAAGUGUGUGUGUGUGUGUAUAAAGUGUGUAUACAAAGUGUGUGUAUAAAGUGUGUGUGUGUGUAUAAAGUGUGUAUACAAAGUGUGUGUAUAAAGUGUGUGUAUGUAUGUGUCUAUAAAGUGUGUAUACAAAGUGUGCGUGUGUAUAAAGUGUGUGUAUGUAUGUGUCUACAAAGUGUGUAUACAAAGUGUGUGUGUGUAUAAAGUGCGUGUGUAUAAAGUGUGUGUAUGUAUGUGUGUAUAAAGUGUGUGUGUGUAUAAAGUGUGUAUGUGUGUGUAUAGUGUGUGUAUGUAUGUGUGUAUAAAGUGUGUGUGUGUAUAAAGUGUGUAUGUGUGUGUAUAGUGUGUGUAUGUAUGUGUGUAUAAAGUGUGUGUGUGUAUAAAGUGUGUAUGUGUGUGUAUAGUGUGUGUAUGUAUGUGUGUAUAAAGUGUGUGUGUGUAUAAAGUGUGUAUGUGUGUGUAUAGUGUGUGUAUGUAUGUGUGUAUAAAGUGUGUGUGUGUAUAAAGUGUGUAUGUGUGUGUAUAGUGUGUGUAUGUAUGUGUGUAUAAAGUGUGUGUGUGUAUAAAGUGUGUAUGUGUGUGUAUAAAGUGUGUGUAUGUAUGUGUGUAUAAAGUGUGUGUGUGUAUAAAGUGUGUAUGUGUGUGUAUAAAGUGUGUGUAUGUAUGUGUGUAUAAAGUGUGUGUGUAUAAAGUGUGUAUGUGUGUGUAUAAAGUGUGUGUAUGUAUGUGUGUAUAAAGUGUGUGUGUGUAUAAAGUGUGUAUGUGUGUGUAUAAAGUGUGUGUAUGUAUGUGUGUAUAAAGUGUGUGUGUGUAUAAAGUGUGUGUAUGUAUGUGUGUAUAAAGUGUGUGUGUGUAUAAAGUGUGUGUAUGUAUGUGUGUAUAAAGUGUGUGUAUGUAUGUGUGUAUAAAGUGUGUGUGUGUAUAAAGUGUGUGUAUGUAUGUGUGUAUAAAGUGUGUGUAUGUAUGUGUGUAUAAAGUGUGUGUGUGUAUAAAGUGUGUAUGUGUGUGUAUAAAGUGUGUGUAUGUGUGUGUAUAAAGUGUGUGUAUGUAUGUGUGUAUAAAGUGUGUGUGUGUAUAAAGUGUGUAUGUGUGUGUAUAAAGUGUGUGUAUGUGUGUGUAUAAAGUGUGUGUAUGUAUGUGUGUAUAAAGUGUGUGUGUGUAUAAAGUGUGUAUGUGUGUGUAUAAAGUGUGUGUAUACAAAGUGUGUAUGUGUGUGUAUAAAGUGUGAAUGUGUGUGUGUAUAAAGUGUGUAUACAAAGUGUGUGUGUGUGUAUAAAGUGUGUAUACAAAGUGUGUGUGUAUGUGUGUGUGUAUAAAGUGUGUGUAUACAAAGUGUGUGUGUGUGUAUAAAGUGUGUGUAUACAAAGUGUGUGUGUGUAUACAAAGUGUGUGUAUGUGUGUGUGUAUGUGUGUGUAUACAAAGUGUGUGUAUAAAGUGUGUGUGUGUAUAAAAAGUGUGUAUAAAGUGUGUGUGUAUGUGUGUGUAUAAAGUGUGUGUGUAUAGUGUGUGUGUAUACAAAGUGUGUGUGUAUGUGUGUGUGUAUAAAAAGUGUGUGUGUGUAUACAAAGUGUGUGUGUAUGUGUGUGUGUAUAAAAAGUGUGUGUGUGUAUACAAAGUGUGUGUGUAUGUGUGUGUGUAUAAAAAGUGUGUGUGUAUACAAAGUGUGUGUGUAUGUGUGUGUAUACAAAGUGUGUGUGUGUAGUGUGUGCAUACAAAGUGUGUGUGUAUGUGUGUGUAUACAAAGUGUGUGUGUGUGUAGUGUGUGCAUACAAAGUGUGUGUAUGUAUGUGUGUAUAAAAAGUGUGUGUGUAUAAAGUGUGUGUAUACAAAGUGUGUGUGUAUGUGUGUGUAUAAAAAGUGUGUGUGUAUAAAGUGUGUGUAUACAAAGUGUGUGUGUAUGUGUGUGUGUAUAAAAAGUGUGUGUGUGUAUAAAGUGUGUGUAUACAAAGUGUGUGUGUAUGUGUGUGUGUAUAAAAAGUGUGUGUGUGUAUAAAGUGUGUGUAUACAAAGUGUGUGUGUAUGUGUGUGUGUAUACAAAGUGUGUGUGUAUAAAGUGUGUGUAUACAAAGUGUGUGUGUAUGUGUGUGUGUAUAAAAAGUGUGUGUGUGUAUAAAGUGUGUGUAUACAAUGUGUGUGUGUAUGUGUGUGUGUAUAAAAAGUGUGUGUAUAAAGUGUGUGUAUACAAAGUGUGUGUGUAUGUGCGUGUGUAUAAAAAGUGUGUGUGUAUACAAAGUGUGUGUAUAAAGUGUGUGUAUACAAAGUGUGUGUGUAUGUGUGUGUGUAUAAAAAGUGUGUGUGUAUAAAGUGUGUGUAUACAAAGUGUGUGUGUAUGUGUGUGUGUAUAAAAAGUGUGUGUGUAUAAAGUGUGUGUAUACAAAGUGUGUGUGUAUGUGUGUGUGUAUAAAGUGUGUGUAUACAAAGUGUGUGUGUAUGUGUGUGUGUAUAAAGUGUGUGUGUAUGUGUGUGUGUAUAAAAAGUGUGUGUGUAUAAAGUGUGUGUAUACAAAGUGUGCGUGUAUGUGUGUGUAUACAAAGUGUGUGUAUAAAAAGUGUGUGUGUAUGUGUGUGUGUAUAAAAAGUGUGUGUGUGUAUAAAGUGUGUGUAUACAAAGUGUGUGUAUAAAAAGUGUGUGUGUAUGUGUGUGUGUAUAAAAAGUGUGUGUGUAUAAAGUGUGUGUAUACAAAGUGUGCGUGUAUGUGUGUGUAUACAAAGUGUGUGUAUACAAAGUGUGUGUGUAUGUGUGUGUGUAUAAAAAGUGUGUGUGUAUAAAGUGUGUGUGUACAAAGUGUGUGUAUGUGUGUGUGUGUAUAAAGUGUGUGUGUAUAAAGUGUGUGUGUACAAAGUGUGUGUAUGUGUGUGUGUAUAAAAAGUGUGUGUAUGUGUGUGUGUAUAAAAAGUGUGUGUGUACAAAGUGUGUGUGUGUGUGUGUAUAAAGUGUGUAUACAAAGUGUGUGUGUAUGUGUGUAUAAAGUGUGUAUACAAAGUGUGUGUGUGCGUAUACAGUGUGUGUGUGUGUAUAAAGUGUGUAUACAAAGUGUGUGUGUGCGUAUACAGUGUGUGUGUGUGUAUAAAGUGUGUAUACAAAGUGUGUGUGUAUGUGUGUAUAAAGUGUGUAUACAAAGUGUGUGUGUGCGUAUACAGUGUGUGUGUGUGUAUAAAGUGUGUAUACAAAGUGUGUGUGUAUGUGUGUAUAAAGUGUGUAUACAAAGUGUGUGUGUAUGUGUGUAUAAAGUGUGUGUGUGUGUAUAAAGUGUAUACAAAGUGUGUGUGUAUGUGUGUAUAAAGUGUGUAUACAAAGUGUGUGUGUGCGUAUACAGUGUGUGUGUGUGUGUAUAAAGUGUGUAUACAAAGUGUGUGUAUAAAGUGUGUGUGUGUGUGUAUAAAGUGUGUAUACAAAGUGUGUGUGUGCGUAUACAGUGUGUGUGUGUGUAUAAAGUGUGUAUACAAAGUGUGUGUGUGCGUAUACAGUGUGUGUGUGUGUAUAAAGUGUGUAUACAAAGUGUGUGUAUAAAGUGUGUGUGUGUGUGUAUAAAGUGUGUAUACAAAGUGUGUGUAUAAAGUGUGUGUGUGUGUGUAUAAAGUGUGUAUACAAAGUGUGUGUAUAAAGUGUGUGUGUGUGUAUAAAGUGUGUAUACAAAGUGUGUGUAUAAAGUGUGUGUAUGUAUGUGUCUAUAAAGUGUGUAUACAAAGUGUGCGUGUGUAUAAAGUGUGUGUAUGUAUGUGUCUACAAAGUGUGUAUACAAAGUGUGUGUGUGUAUAAAGUGCGUGUGUAUAAAGUGUGUGUAUGUAUGUGUCUAUAAAGUGUGUAUACAAAGUGUGUGUGUGUAUAAAGUGCGUGUGUAUAAAGUGUGUGUAUGUAUGUGUGUAUAAAGUGUGUGUGUGUAUAAAGUGUGUAUGUGUGUGUAUAGUGUGUGUAUGUAUGUGUGUAUAAAGUGUGUGUGUGUAUAAAGUGUGUAUGUGUGUGUAUAGUGUGUGUAUGUAUGUGUGUAUAAAGUGUGUGUGUGUAUAAAGUGUGUAUGUGUGUGUAUAGUGUGUGUAUGUAUGUGUGUAUAAAGUGUGUGUGUGUAUAAAGUGUGUAUGUGUGUGUAUAGUGUGUGUAUGUAUGUGUGUAUAAAGUGUGUGUGUGUAUAAAGUGUGUAUGUGUGUGUAUAGUGUGUGUAUGUAUGUGUGUAUAAAGUGUGUGUGUGUAUAAAGUGUGUAUGUGUGUGUAUAAAGUGUGUGUAUGUAUGUGUGUAUAAAGUGUGUGUGUGUAUAAAGUGUGUAUGUGUGUGUAUAAAGUGUGUGUAUGUAUGUGUGUAUAAAGUGUGUGUGUAUAAAGUGUGUAUGUGUGUGUAUAAAGUGUGUGUAUGUAUGUGUGUAUAAAGUGUGUGUGUAUAAAGUGUGUAUGUGUGUGUAUAAAGUGUGUGUAUGUAUGUGUGUAUAAAGUGUGUGUGUAUAAAGUGUGUAUGUGUGUGUAUAAAGUGUGUGUAUGUAUGUGUGUAUAAAGUGUGUGUGUGUAUAAAGUGUGUAUGUGUGUGUAUAAAGUGUGUGUAUGUAUGUGUGUAUAAAGUGUGUAUGUGUGUGUAUAAAGUGUGUAUGUGUGUGUAUAAAGUGUGUGUAUGUAUGUGUGUAUAAAGUGUGUGUGUGUAUAAAGUGUGUGUAUGUAUGUGUGUAUAAAGUGUGUGUGUGUAUAAAGUGUGUGUAUGUAUGUGUGUAUAAAGUGUGUGUAUGUAUGUGUGUAUAAAGUGUGUGUGUGUAUAAAGUGUGUGUAUGUAUGUGUGUAUAAAGUGUGUGUGUGUAUAAAGUGUGUAUGUGUGUGUAUAAAGUGUGUGUAUGUGUGUGUAUAAAGUGUGUGUAUGUAUGUGUGUAUAAAGUGUGUGUAUGUGUGUGUAUAAAGUGUGUGUAUGUAUGUGUGUAUAAAGUGUGUGUGUGUAUAAAGUGUGUAUGUGUGUGUAUAAAGUGUGUGUAUGUAUGUGUGUAUAAAGUGUGUGUGUGUAUAAAGUGUGUAUGUGUGUGUAUAAAGUGUGUGUAUACAAAGUGUGUAUGUGUGUGUAUAAAGUGUGAAUGUGUGUGUGUAUAAAGUGUGUAUACAAAGUGUGUGUGUGUGUAUAAAGUGUGUAUACAAAGUGUGUGUGUACAAAGUGUGUGUGUGUGUAUAAAGUGUGUGUAUACAAAGUGUGUGUGUGUGUAUAAAGUGUGUGUAUACAAAGUGUGUGUGUAUGUGUGUGUAUACAAAGUGUGUGUAUAAAGUGUGUGUGUGUAUAAAAAGUGUGUGUAUAAAGUGUGUGUGUAUGUGUGUGUAUAAAGUGUGUGUGUAUAGUGUGUGUGUAUACAAAGUGUGUGUGUAUGUGUGUGUGUAUAAAAAGUGUGUGUGUGUAUACAAAGUGUGUGUGUAU